rnacentral:tRNA from 1 species
GAUCCUGUCGUCUAGUGGCUCAGGACACCUCCCUGACACGGAGGAGAUCGACGGUUCGAGUCCGUCCAGGAUCA